rnacentral:misc_RNA from 1 species
GAUGAAGAACGCAGCGAAAUGCGAUAAGUAAUGUGAAUUGAAGAAUUCCGUGAAUCAUCGAAUCUUUGAACGCACAUUGCGCCCCCUGGCAUUCCGGGGGGCAUGCCUGUCCGAGCGUCAUUUCUGCCCUCCAGCCCGGCUGGGUGUUGGGCGCUGUCCCCCCGGGGACACGCCCCAAAGGCAGUGGCGGCGCCGCGUCGGGUCCUCGAGCGUAUGGGGCUUUGUCACCCGCUCGGGACGGACUCGUCGGCGCUGGUCUUCCUCCAGGCGACCCUUCGGGGCUCGUCUUCCUUCGGUUGACCUCGGAUCAGGUAGGGUUACCCGCUGAACUUAAGCAUAUCAAUAAGCGGAGGA